CACAGCGUUGUGCCCUUGAAGUAGGCGGACUGUAGGACAUGCAAGUUCUAGCUCAAUAAAGCUGGGAAAAAUGAAAGUUUCCAUUUUCCAAAAAGAAAAAUUUUCAGUGACCCUGUAUUCAUCCUGUGGCUAUUCCGUCUGCAGCAGGAGUGAGCCACUCACUGGGGUCUUCGCGGACACAGAUUCCCAAGCUCGGUUAGCUCUUUGGAAAAGUUGAGACACAUCACACACACAUUGGGAUAGUGGAGCAAGAAAAAGGAUCUUGAUGUUACAGGGGGUCUGAUAAUGGGAGUCAGGAAGGGGAGGGUCCUAUGACUCAAAGUGCACAAAAGCACUUCUCUACCACUGAAGGUAGAUGAAAGAAAAUCCUGACUCUGGUGGGGUGGCUGUCAUUGCCACCAAAAAAAUAAUGCUAAAAUAAAAUAAAAUAAUAAAAUAUAAAAUAUAAAUAUGGGUUGCAAGUGGGAUGCUGAGAAGUUCCAUGAUUGAGUUGUAGUCCUAGAAUGAAAAUACAGUAGCUUUGGUUGUUUCCAGCUGUAAAAGUGAUUUGGUGCCGGAUAUCAAUUUUAUGGCCUUUCCCUGGGUGUAAUAACUGGAAAGUGCCCGAGGAAAAUCUCUGUCCAAAAUCUAGCUGCUCUCCACAUAGGUCCUCCUGCCUCUACAAGUGAGAGCUGAUGGGGAGCUGGCAAAUAAUUACAUUAUUUCUGCAGUAAAGCCCGAUACAUCCCUAAUAAAAGUUAAUGAUUAUGCUCAGACUUUCAGACAUUCGGAGUCUAGACUGAAGACACUGAAAGGAAACUUUGUACGUCCAUUCUUCAGCGUUCGGCACGAGCAGGACUAUAAAGUGACUUCAACAUCAGCCUCAAGUGUCCGUGCAUUUGUUACCUUCUGCCUUAGGCACAGAGGCCCCGUUAGGACUCUGGGAAGAAGUCAAGGCUGUACUUGAUGUUCCAAACCAUUAAAAAGCUACAGCAUUCCAACAUGAAUGCCAAAGGCAGAACACAACCAGCAUCUUUUCUUUGUAGGGUGGGAAGCUUCGUCUCUUUCCCUGGACUCGGUAAAUUCGGCCUUUUCUCUUCCUCCCCGGUGGGAAGAGAGGGAAGUGGGAACAGAGGGGUCGGCAGCGGGUAGUGACAUCCUGACACAGUUGUCAGAUUUCAGAACUGGGAAAGAGCCUCACGCGCCCUCUAAGGCCAACUUUUGAUUUCACGGAAGAGGAAACCACGGCUCAGGAGGACCAAGGGACUUGCCUCAGUCAUUGCCUCAGGCCCCUGGGGAUCUGACACAUCCAGGUGGACUUUCAGAUGAUGAAAUCUCCCAGGUAGAAGAUCACUCUGACACCUCAUUUACUCAGCCAACUAGCAUUUACUGAGCACCUGCUGUGUGCCAGGCGUGGGCCCUGGACCUGCCGGCUUGCGGGAAAGCAGGGAGAUGGGAGGUAAGCAAGUGGUACUAGCUGCUGUGACAGGGACUGAGGGGGCGUGGGCUUGGGAAGACCCCCUGAGGAGAGGACAUUUGAGCUGAGACCUGGACGACACGGGCACAGCCAUGAGACCCAGAGAGCCUAGACCCGUGCUGGAAGGAGAAGCCAGGCCAAGCGGCUGAAGCCAGGGAGCGAGGCUCUGGAGGAACGUGGGCACAUGGAUCCAGCACUUGAGUGAGAGACAGACACCAGGACAAGUCAAUAGAAUAUACAAGUUCAUCGAAGAUGAGGGAAGCUCAGCCAAGGACACCAGUCAAGGGCUGGGCUGAAGACGAACAGCUCACCCUGGUUGGCUCAAUCAUUUUGGAGGAGUGGGGGGUCUACCUGAAACCUAAAGGCCGCUGUUAGGGGUUGCAUUAUGUCCCCACUCCCUCCAAAGAUAUGCCAGAGUCCUAACCCCCAGUACCUGUGAGCGUGACCUUAUUUGGAAAUGGGGUCAUUGAAGAUGGAGUUGGUUAAGAUGAGGUGAUCGUGGACUAGGGCGGGCCCUUCAUCCGACAUGACUGGUGUCCUUAGAAGAAGAGAGACAAACGUAGAGGAAAACGCCUCUGAAGACACAGGCAGGGGCUGGAGCGAUGUGUCUGCCGGCCCAGGAAUACCAAGCGUUGCUGGCAACACCAAAAACCAGAAGAAGCAAACAAGGAUCCGUCCCUACAGGGUUCAGAGGGAAUGCGGCCGGCCAACACCUUGGUUUUGGACUUCUGGUCGCCCGGAUUGUGAGAGACACUUCUCUUGUUUUGAACCACCCGGUUUGUGGUCCUUCGUGACGACAGCCCAGGAAGCUAACAUCAGUGUGUGGGAGCCAGGCACACAGAGAAUGGGAGAAGAGGGUCCCGGGGCUGACAGAACAGCACUGGGAGUGGCCAGGAAACGUGUCUGGUUGUUCAUGAUGGCAGUGGUUGCUGGGAGAGGGUGCCAAGCAGGAGCUGGCAGGACGGGCCUUGUAAGAAGAAGGCUGUGUGCCGGAUGUGGAUGAGAUGGGGGGAGUGGAGCCCAGAGAACCUCACCGGAAGUUGGUGGCCCCUGCUCUAGGAUGAUGCCAUGAGAGGGAGGUGAUGGAAAGUUCUGGCAAGUAUGUUAGAGAAAAAACCCUGACUGGACGGGGGGUGAGUUGGGUGCAAAUAGGUUUAAAGUAUAAAUAAAUGCUUUCAAGAA